UACGUAGGGUGCAAGCGUUGUCCGGAAUUAUUGGGCGUAAAGAGCUCGUAGGCGGUCUGUCGCGUCUGCUGUGAAAACUCAGGGCUUAACCCUGAGCUUGCAGUGGGUACGGGCAGACUAGAGUGCGGUAGGGGAGACUGGAAUUCCUGGUGUAGCGGUGAAAUGCGCAGAUAUCAGGAGGAACACCGGUGGCGAAGGCGGCAUCCUGGACCAACACUGACACUGAGGAGCGAAAGCCAGGGGAGCAAACGGG
rnacentral:rRNA from 1 species